AGGCCCGGGCGCGCGGGGCGGGGACCCGAGACCCACCUGGGGCGCCCCCCGGCGCCACCAGGCUCCGCGUCUUGGGUCUCGACACGUUUUUAGUCCAUCAUCCCGUCCGAGGCACUCCCUAAAAGAAGGAGAGGAAACUCGACCUCUGUUGCCUCGCAGGCAUCCAGGCCAGCCCCAGCCAGUGGAAUCCUGGUUGCACACCCGUGGGGCAAAACCCGAAGAGGAGCUGCCCGAAUGGGCCCCUAGAAGUUUGCAUGGGUCAGAAUUCCUGGUACAGCCUCGCUUGGUGCCUCUCAGUCAAGAUCUCCAUGAGGUUACUGUCCUGCUGUUGGCCAUGGCUGUGGUCUCACCUGAAGGCUCUAUGGAAGGAAGAGGACCUGCUUUCAAACGCACACAGCUGACUGCUAGCAAGAUUCACUUCCACUCAGGCUGUUGUGCUGGGGGCUUUAGUUCCUCACUGGCUGUUGGCUGGAGGCUUCCCUCAGCUCCUUUCCCUGUGGCUCUCUCCACAGGCCAGCUCACAACAUGGCAUGGUCAUGGCAGCUCAGAAUGACCAAGGGCAGCUCAGAAUGCCCAGGGUGUCCAAGGCAGAUGUCAUAGAUGUUUUGUACCCUAAUUGUGAAAAUAACAUCCUGUCACUUUUUUCAUAGUCUAUGUGUGAUAUGGUUUGGCUCUGUGCCCCCUCCCAAAUCUCAUCUUGAAUUGUAAUCCCCACAUAUCAAGAAAGGGGCCUGUAAUCUUUGUAUAGCAAAGGAGGGAGACGAUCAGAUCAUGGGAGUGGUUUCCCUCAUGCCGUUCUCAUGAGAGCAAGUGAAUUCUCACAAGAUAUGAUGGUUUUAUAAGUGUUUGGAAGUUUCUCCUUCGUUUUUCUCUCUUCCGCUGCCUUGUGAAGAAGGUGCUUGUUUCCUGUUUGCCUUCAGCCAAGAUUGUAAGUUUCCUGAUGCCUCCAGUGGAACUGUGAGUCAAUUAAAUCUCUUUCCUCUAUAAAUUACCCAGUCUUGCAUAGUUCUUUAUAGCAGUGUGAAAACAGACUAAUACAAUGUGUUAGAAGCAAGUCUUGAGGAGUGGAUUACACAAGGGCAUUCAGCGCAGGUGAUGUGGAUCUUUGGAGGUCAUCUCAGAGACCAGCUACCUUGAGAUGUUAUGAAGAAAUCUUAUGCCUCUCCCUCAGUCCCUGUUAGCCCAGUCAGUCCACUUCCUACCUCUAAGUAACCUGAGUAAGCCUUCAAUCACACAAUAGGCCUAGAUGACUGGCAUCAGUCUGUUCCUGAAAUGAGAAGGAAGGACAGCUCCCUUAUGCUGAUUCUACCAGCAUUUUGUAGCCAUCCAAGUUGAUGAGGAGGGUGGCAGUGGCAGUGAUGGAGGGUCUAGCACUGUUGUCAUCAGGCACCUGCAAGUCUUACCGUGUGUCCCACAAGAACUGGAAAUGGAGAGCCAAACUCUGCUCAGUGGAAAUUGCAAGGCAUGCCAUGAGAGGCUUAGAGUACCUCUCCUCCUCUCUAAUCAUACCUCGUUGCUAC
rnacentral:lncRNA from 13 species